rnacentral:rRNA from 1 species
GACGAACGCUGGCGGCGCGCCUAACACAUGCAAGUCGAACGAGCGAGAGAGAGCUUGCUUUCUUGAGCGAGUGGCGAACGGGUGAGUAACGCGUGAGGAACCUGCCUCAAAGAGGGGGACAACAGUUGGAAACGACUGCUAAUACCGCAUAAGCCCACGGUGCCGCAUGGCACAGAGGGAAAAGGAGCAAUCCGCUUUGAGAUGGCCUCGCGUCCGAUUAGCUGGUUGGUGAGGUAACGGCCCACCAAGGCGACGAUCGGUAGCCGGACUGAGAGGUUGAACGGCCACAUUGGGACUGAGACACGGCCCAGACUCCUACGGGAGGCAGCAGUGGGGAAUAUUGCACAAUGGGGGAAACCCUGAUGCAGCGACGCCGCGUGGAGGAAGAAGGUCUUAGGAUUGUAAACUCCUGUUGUUGGGGAAGAUAAUGACGGUACCCAACAAGGAAGUGACGGCUAACUACGUG